AUCAAUAGGGAACCGAAAAAUGCCAGACAGCGGGCAACGUCUGCGCAGAAUUCUGGCCGCGCACACAAGACUGGUGUGGAUUUAGCAUUGACUGGACCUGCAUCAGCUGCAGGGAGUAACGGAGCCCAUCAGGGAGAAAAUCUGAGCGCUCUCGUGCAGCUCGACAAAGUGUGUCCUCGCUCGAGCAACAAACGUGAUGUGAGAUUGAGCAGAGGAAGUGCAGAGGAAGCCUGCAAGGGCCAAGAGGCACUCACGCAGUCGCUGCUAAAAUCAACACGGCCAUCAGCAGAGCAUUCCAGUGCAGCAACGUUGCGGCAAUCCAGAAAACGGGACCCCAACCUCUUCGGUGACAGCGACGCAGAUGGCACUUUCGACAGGGAGCUAGAACGGCGCGUGCGUGACGUCGUCGCCGACGUUUGGGACGCCUUUCGUCGCCCGGUACCAAAGAAAUAACUGUGCAGUGCGUCUCGCACGUCACUACGUCUCGUCGUCGUGUUGUUUCCCGACCAGACAUCGUUGACGAAACCCCGAGUCCUGCUCUUCGAAAUGUGCAUAGUUUCCAGGGAGACCCCAGAGAUGGCCACACCACAAUAACAACUCUAGACAAAAACAAAAAGUGCUUCAGUGGAUUUUUUUGUCGAUUCAUGCCAUUCCUGCAUUUAUUAUUGUUGAUCGUGCGUGUUUGUAUGUGUUUUUGUGCGUGCAUGCAUGUGACGAUGGGCAACUCGAAGGUUUGGAAGCUGCGAACGAGAUUGGCCCUGGUGGUGCUUUUCUGCACAUCGUGCAGGAGUUGUAGUUUAUUCUGGGACGGUGCCGACACUGCGUCGCCCCACAAACUGUUAGGUGAUGUGGAUGACGGCGAGGGUAAUUUAUUUUAGAUAAAACGUGUCCGGGAAAACGAAGGAGACGACGUAGACGACGUAGAAUGUCAAACGAUUUGGAACCAUGCCACAUUCUAUUCUGCAUAGUCUUUACCUCAGCGACCAUACGAUCAGGUGCGACGUCUGGAAAAGUGGAACAACGAGUCACAUAUUUUAGCUUCUGCUAUGGUGGGCGCAGACCUGUGCCAUACCACAUGUUGUCUGCUCCAGCUGUGUUGUGAUUUUUCUCGUUAAUUUAUGAGUGCGGCAUGCACAACAGUGCUGCAAGUACUACCCGCCUGCCAUGUGAACGCUGUUACGAGUCUUAUUUAUUACUAGGUGGCCUUGUAGCACCCACUGACGACCACCAUGCAUCAACCUUCUGUUUUGUCUUAGAGGUUAGCUGAUAUUCAACCAAGUACUGUGACAAGCUCUUGGCAGUUUCACACUCUGGCAAUCGGCCAGCACAUCGGCAUCUUCGCGUAGUAAUUGUAACAAAAUAUUAAAACUCCCAAUUUCAUCUGAACGUUUAAGAGUACCAAUAGUUGCAUGGAGCAGCUUUGCAGUGAUGUCUUAGCAACCAUGAUUGUACUCAAGGCAUGAGGAAAAAUCACAAUUAUUGGAAAAUGGCACAUUCAUAGCUGGUACUCGAAAGGGUGUGUGCCGAGAGCUUCUGCCAAACUGGCUACAAGAUGUUUGCGGUCUUCUGGUAGUGACGUGUAAUAUCAUCUCAAGUUGGUUAUUGGCAGAGGAUUACCCCAAAACAAUUUCUUGGAAUCUUACAUAGUUUUUGCCUAUAAAAUGUUCAAUGGAAAGUAUAAAUCCUGGCAAACAUUUUGAGAACUGGGCUAAAUCACAGCUAUUUGGACAAGUUUUAUAAAAGGCACUAUAUGAAGAUCAUUGGACAUAUAUCAAGCAGUAAGCUAUUCCUCCAACCAAAUCAGAUAGACAGCAUGUUCACCUUCUGAUACGUUAGCGUGGAUGUACUAAGGCCCAUAACAGGCUUCGUUUCUUUCAGAAAAGCCUAAAAUCAUCGAGAGGAAAAAGCUAUGUGCAGUUAAUGCUGAAAAACAACAGAUAUAACUGGAAAUGGGCCAAGGAAAUAAGUGCCCAAGUAACACAACAGGUAGUCGCAAUUCAUAGCAUAAUCGCAACUCGACCUUGAUCUCACGUUCCUCUCGAUGUCUAUGUCCGCAUACUUCUGCAAAAAGCUCCACAGCUGGCCAGCCUUUCAUGUGCAGAGCUUGCGGUGUUUGUGUUAAAGUCACGCUUCACAGUCCUGCCUUGCGAGUCUUCGUAACUGCAUCGCAGCCGCUUCACCUUCUCAAGACGUGCGUUCAGGCAGGCAGUAUUUCUUUCCAUGUCUCGCACUAAUAAUGUGCGUGGAAAAAGCCACACUUAACAUGGGAGUUUUCAUGAGAGUCGUGUUUAAUAUACUAGGUUCUUCUACUGCCUUCAAUGUUUUUUUCCCUUUCAAUUUUUGUGUGAUUCAUUGCAUCUGUGUGGAUCUGUAAUGAAGGGUGAAAACAAAAUUCAGAAAGCACAUUUUUCUUGUAAUUAACAACAGGCCGCUGCCAGUGCGAAUUUCAAGAGGAUGUAUAUAUAGGUUGACAACAAUUUGUUUCUGUGUAUAUAUAUAUUUCUUUUUCCCAUCAGAUUUGUGUUGUUGUCGCGCUAGAAGUGAAAAAGGUGACUGAGAAACGUGUGCACUGUCAGGGACAAAGAUAGCUACCAGGAGUAUUUUCAGGAGGGCUGCAAAGCAUGACAAGGUGCCAGGCAGCCGGUUGCACACAUCAAUCUGUGCUGCAUGCCAUUUUUUUCUUUUAAACCCUAGAACUUGCUUUUUUAAUUGUACUAUACCUGUUAGGGCAGCCCACACAACCAUUGUGGACAAACAUUUACAAAGCUUGAGUACUGUUAACAACAGGCCUUUAAAUUACUACAGUAUAGUUAACACAUGCUGGGCACAAAUCUGAGCAAUUGUCAACUUGCCAGCUAAGCAUUUCACUGCCUUCAGAAACAGGUUUUGUGCUUUGAUCUACACACUUUUGUAAGGUUUUAACGACAAUCUAAAGUAUGUUGCAAUUCUGCCAGGGUGGCUUUGAUACGUGAGAAUGGGUAUCCUCACCCCAAAUAUCCCACGUCUUGCCACGAUUUAUAAACGAUGCACUGAAGAUCGCCAAGCGAGUGUGACAGUAUAUCCGUUUUUCUAUUUGAACUAAAGUUGCAUGUUUAGUGCGCGACAAAUUAAAAAAAAAAAAUUUUUCUGGUGGGCAGCGGCGACAUUUAAGGCUGUACUUGUGCACUCAGGGAGCAGAUGCGAACCACACACUGCCUAUUCUAGGUGAGAGGCAUGCCAAAAUGUUUAGAAUGCCACAAGAUCACUAAAAUAUGGCACAGUGCAGUCUUAAGUUUAGACUGCAUCGCUGGUGCUACAACAUUUUUCUAUUGGUUCCAACCUCUCAUGUAGUGAUCUAAUCCACGAUGUACAAGAUCGCAUGACAUGUUUGAUGCGAGCGCAGUUUGUGAUGCUUCGAUGUGCUUGUGUCGCAAACUCAGUCUUACACACAGAAAGUAAAACAUUAAUAAUUUGCCUAAAAAGUGGCUCCGCAGUGGUUUUUUUUUUCUUUUUACAUUGAAGUUGCCUGUUGUUCAUUUGUGCACUUGUUACGAUGAAACAAAGUCUCAUUCACUUGAACUGUGUGCCAUAUGUUUCAUAGCACAUUCUGAUGCAUUUUAUUUAUUAAAUAAAAGCCGGUUACGUCGAGAAGA